rnacentral:rRNA from 1 species
AUGGGUGCGCACCGGACGCGUCGGGCGCGCGGGCGCGUGUACGAGCAUGCGGUUGACUUUGGGAGGAGGCGUAUGUCGCUGUUGUGCUCGAUUCCGUGCUCGAGUUCGGCUACAUCCUUCCGGUGUUUGUCGCUGGCGGCUGCCAUGGCGGAUGCGGAGGCGGCGCGCGGUGAGCGUCUGGUGCAGUCGGGCUCGUCGGGCGCGUCGGGUGCGCGCGGGACGUGCGGGACGUACUGGUGCGGUCGGGCUCGUCGGGUGCUCGCGGGAUGUGCGGGGCGCAGAGGGACGCCAGGCGUGUGUCGCCGGCGGAGAAGGGGCUCGGCAUAUGUCGUCGGGGUCAUGACGGAGCACGGUGCGACCGGCGUCAGUGCGCCAGGUCGGGUCCGUGGCGGUGCGACCGGCGUCAAUGCGUCGGGUCGGGUCCGCAGGCUAGGUCACGGCCGUGACGACGACAAUGACAGGAGCUGUAACAACUCCGACGACGGCGAGGUUGUGGCUUAG